rnacentral:rRNA from 1 species
UCGGGAAUUUUGGGCAAUGGGGGAAACCCUGACCCAGCAACGCCGCGUGAAGGAUGAAGUAUUUCGGUAUGUAAACUUCGAAAGAAUAGGAAGAAUAAAUGACGGUACUAUUUAUAAGGUCCGGCUAACUACGUGCCAGCAGCCGCGGUAAUACGUAGGGACCAAGCGUUGUUCGGAUUUACUGGGCGUAAAGGGCGCGUAGGCGGCAUGACAAGUCACUUGUGAAAUCUCUGGGCUUAACCCAGAACGGCCAAGUGAUACUGUCGCGCUAGAGUGCAGAAGGGGCAAUCGGAAUUCUUGGUGUAGCGGUGAAAUGCGUAGAUAUCAAGAGGAACACCAGUGGCGAAGGCGGCUCACUGGAUCGGUACUGACGCUGAGGUGCGAAGCG